rnacentral:rRNA from 1 species
ACGGAAGGCAGCAGUGGGGAAUAUUGGGCAAUGGGCGAAAGCCUGACCCAGCAACGCCGCGUGAGGGAAGAAGGGUUUCGGCUCGUAAACCUCUGUCCUAUGGGACGAAGGAAGUGACGGUACCAUAGGAGGAAGCCCCGGCUAACUACGUGCCAGCAGCCGCGGUAAUACGUAGGGGGCGAGCGUUGUCCGGAAUGAUUGGGCGUAAAGGGCGCGUAGGCGGCCCGUUAAGUCUGGAGUGAAAGUCCUGCUUUUAAGGUGGGAAUUGCUUUGGAUACUGAUGGGCUCGAGUGCAGGAGAGGAAAGCGGAAUUACCGGUGUAGCGGUGAAAUGCGUAGAGAUCGGGAGGAACACCAGUGGCGAAGGCGGCUUACUGGGCUGUAACUGACGCUGAGGCGCGAAGGCGUGGGGAGCGAACAGGAUUAGAUACCCUGGUA